rnacentral:rRNA from 1 species
UGCAUGUACUCUACGAAUAAGUAUCGGCUAACUCCGUGCCAGCAGCCGCGGUAAUACGGAGGAUACGAGCGUUAUCCGGAAUUAUUGGGUUUAAAGGGUGCGUAGGUGGCGUAUUAAGUCAGUGGUGAAAAGCUGCAGCUCAACCGUAGUCUUGCCGUUGAAACUGAUAUGCUAGAGAGGAGACGAGGUAUGCGGAAUGUGUGGUGUAGCGGUGAAAUGCAUAGAUAUCACACAGAACGCCGAUUGCGAAGGCAGCGUACCAGGCUCCGUCUGACACUGAAGCACGAAAGCGUGGGGAUCAAACAGGAUUAGAUACCCUGGUAGUCCACGCAGUAAACGAUGAAUACUAGAUUUUUGCGAUAUACUGUAAGAGUCUAAGCGAAAGCGAUAAGUAUUCCACCUGGGGAGUACGCCGGCAACGGUGAAACUCAAAGGAAUUGACGGGGGCCCGCACAAG